rnacentral:lncRNA from 1 species
UCCUGGACUGUCUUUGCAGAGGUGGAUGCCAAGAACUUCAUGAUGCAGACCAUCAAGGACAUUAAUGCCCAAGUUAUAGAAGGAAACUUUCAAUUCUGUCUGUUCUGCCUAUUCUGUUUUUAGUGAUGAUGCCUAACAUUUUUGUUCUAUCUGUAUCAGAUCCCUCUUUGAUGGAAAACAUAGAUGGGCAGUCCGUCCAGGCUGGAGAAGUGAUUGGUAAGCUUUCCAUCGUUCUGUUCCCUC